rnacentral:rRNA from 1 species
GCGGGGGCGGGUGCCUAUACAUGCAAGUAGAACGCUGAAGAGAGGAGCUUGCUCUUCUUGGAUGAGUUGCGAACGGGUGAGUAACGCGUAGGUAACCUGCCUUGUAGCGGGGGAUAACUAUUGGAAACGAUAGCUAAUACCGCAUAACAAUGGAUGACACAUGUCAUUUAUUUGAAAGGGGCAAUUGCUCCACUACAAGAUGGACCUGCGUUGUAUUAGCUAGUAGGUGAGGUAAUGGCUCACCUAGGCGACGAUACAUAGCCGACCUGAGAGGGUGAUCGGCCACACUGGGACUGAGACACGGCCCAGACUCCUACGGGAGGCAGCAGUAGGGAAUCUUCGGCAAUGGGGGCAACCCUGACCGAGCAACGCCGCGUGAGUGAAGAAGGUUUUCGGAUCGUAAAGCUCUGUUGUAAGUCAAGAACGGGUGUGAGAGUGGAAAGUUCACACUGUGACGGUAGCUUACCAGAAAGGGACGGCUAACUACGUGCCAGCAGCCGCGGUAAUACGUAGGUCCCGAGCGUUGUCCGGAUUUAUUGGGCGUAAAGCGAGCGCAGGCGGUUUGAUAAGUCUGAAGUUAAAGGCUGUGGCUCAACCAUAGUUCGCUUUGGAAACUGUCAAACUUGAGUGCAGAAGGGGAGAGUGGAAUUCCAUGUGUAGCGGUGAAAUGCGUAGAUAUAUGGAGGAACACCGGUGGCGAAAGCGGCUCUCUGGUCUGUAACUGACGCUGAGGCUCGAAAGCGUGGGGAGCGAACAGGAUUAGAUACCCUGGUAGUCCACGCCGUAAACGAUGAGUGCUAGGUGUUGGAUCCUUUCCGGGAUUCAGUGCCGCAGCUAACGCAUUAAGCACUCCGCCUGGGGAGUACGACCGCAAGGUUGAAACUCAAAGGAAUUGACGGGGGCCCGCACAAGCGGUGGAGCAUGUGGUUUAAUUCGAAGCAACGCGAAGAACCUUACCAGGUCUUGACAUCCCGAUGCUAUUUCUAGAGAUAGAAAGUUACUUCGGUACAUCGGUGACAGGUGGUGCAUGGUUGUCGUCAGCUCGUGUCGUGAGAUGUUGGGUUAAGUCCCGCAACGAGCGCAACCCCUAUUGUUAGUUGCCAUCAUUCAGUUGGGCACUCUAGCGAGACUGCCGGUAAUAAACCGGAGGAAGGUGGGGAUGACGUCAAAUCAUCAUGCCCCUUAUGACCUGGGCUACACACGUGCUACAAUGGUUGGUACAACGAGUUGCGAGUCGGUGACGGCGAGCUAAUCUCUUAAAGCCAAUCUCAGUUCGGAUUGUAGGCUGCAACUCGCCUACAUGAAGUCGGAAUCGCUAGUAAUCGCGGAUCAGCACGCCGCGGUGAAUACGUUCCCGGGCCUUGUACACACCGCCCGUCACACCACGAGAGUUUGUAACACCCGAAGUCGGUGAGGUAACCUUUUGGAGCCAGCCGCGUAAGGUGAACAAA